UAAGACAAUGCCAACCAUCAAGGUCACGAAGUCGGCCGGCCCGGCGCUUACAACCGCACUGCUCGUCGCAAGCCUUGUCAUGAUCUUCAGCUUCGUCGUCAUCGACCGUCUCGCCCCUUUUGCGGAUCCGAACAUCACGCCGGGCUAUUUCUACAGGACGGUCUGGGAUCAAGGCUUCCUGCGCUACUGCGGACCAGGAUUGCAGGCGUUCAAUCUCGACUGCCGCACCGCGAAUCUUCGAGCGUG
rnacentral:misc_RNA from 1 species